rnacentral:lncRNA from 1 species
UUACCACUAGCCCUUGCCUGUGAAAAUUAUCAUCCAUAGCAAUCAAAUUAAUCAACAAUUACAAUCCACAAUACCAAAUGAAUAAAAGAAUCAAAUCUUGAAAAUUUCCCAGACAAGGGUUAGAUCCAGAGGGUCCAAAAAUGAAAUGGGAAAGUUGAAAAUGAGAGAAAAAAUAAAAAUGAAAUUUAGUCAAAUUCAAACUGAUCCCUCAAAAAACAAAAAAUGAAACCCUGAGAAUUGAAAAGAGGGCAAAAGGGUGAGGUACAAAACAACUCAUUAGGAAUAGUUAUAGCCAUAGAAACCAACCGAAAUUAAAGGGCAUAUUUUAUUUAUUCCAUAUACCUGAUAAAUAAAUAAAGAAAAUUUCUUCGGCUUCUUUCUUCUUCUUCUUGAGUAAUGAGGAAAUACAGUGAAGAAACAGUUAAGCAGACAGGUAAUGACAGAGAACAAUGUGUGUGUGUGUGUGAGAGAGAGAGAGAGAGAAUUGUUUGAGUCUGUUCUCUGUUGUCUGUUUUGUUACGUUGAGAAUGAGGAUUGAGGAAAGGGUGCUCCAGGGGGCCGAGGGUUAUGAUUGAGAAUAUAAGAAAUAUCUGUGUAUAUUUAGCUGUCAGUGAAGGUUAUUUUAU